rnacentral:tRNA from 1 species
GCGUGCGUGGUAUAAUGGCCGUGCCUUGGGCUUCCAACCCAAUGAAGAGAGUUCGAUCCUCUCCGCCCGCACCA